UGUGGGAACUUUAAUCGUACGACACGAUCAAUCUGCCCCGUUGCUGCCCUGUCAACAAGUGUGCGGGUUCUAUAUCGAUCAAAGGGACCAUAGUACACGAGGGACACACACACACUAUCAGAUAAUUUGCAGCUUGAGAGCCCAUCGAGAUAAUCCACAUUAUGGCGCGAUACUGUAACGGUAGCAACGGAAACGCUCGCACAGUCUGCGUCCAAUGUCCAAACAUCCGACAGCGAAAUCCAAGAACAACAUCUAGUUCAGAAAGGCAACACCGAGACCCGAACUGAACCAGUAUGCACCAUGAACCAAGAGUUGAAAGGUCGCUGUCGCCGGUAUUUAUGGCUUUCUUCCGAUUUCCUGAUGGCCUCGCCCCAGCACUACCACCAGGGUGGAGCAAUGUCGCAAACGUG